AGGGAAUUUUGGACAAUGGGGGCAACCCUGAUCCAGCGAUGCCGCGUGCAGGAAGAAGGCCUUCGGGUUGUAAACUGCUUUUGUACGGAACGAAAAGGCUCUGGUUAAUACCUGGGGCACAUGACGGUACCGUAAGAAUAAGCACCGGCUAACUACGUGCCAGCAGCCGCGGUAAUACGUAGGGUGCAAGCGUUAAUCGGAAUUACUGGGCGUAAAGCGUGCGCAGGCGGUGCUGUAAGACAGGCGUGAAAUCCCCGGGCUUAACCUGGGAAUGGCGCUUGUGACUGCAGUGCUGGAGUGUGGCAGAGGGGGAUGGAAUUCCGCGUGUAGCAGUGAAAUGCGUAGAUAUGCGGAGGAACACCGAUGGCGAAGGCAAUCCCCUGGGCCUGCACUGACGCUCAUGCACGAAAGCGUGGGGAGCAAAC
rnacentral:rRNA from 1 species